rnacentral:rRNA from 1 species
UCCUCCCUCUUUCCUCGUGCUUAACACAUGCAAGUCGAACGGAAAGGCCCUGCUUUUGUGGGGUGCUCGAGUGGCGAACGGGUGAGUAACACGUGAGUAACCUGCCCUUGACUUUGGGAUAACUUCAGGAAACUGGGGCUAAUACCGGAUAGGAGCUCCUGCUGCAUGGUGGGGGUUGGAAAGUUUCGGCGGUUGGGGAUGGACUCGCGGCUUAUCAGCUUGUUGGUGGGGUAGUGGCUUACCAAGGCUUUGCCGGGUAGCCGGCCUGAGAGGGUGACCGGCCACAUUGGGACUGAGGUACGGCCCAGACUCCUACGGGAGGCAGCAGUGGGGAAUAUUGCACAAUGGGCGGAAGCCUGAUGCAGCAACGCCGCGUGCGGGAUGACGGCCUUCGGGUUGUAAACCGCUUUCGCCUGUGACGAAGCGUGAGUGACGGUAAUGGGUAAAGAAGCACCGGCUAACUACGUG